rnacentral:sRNA from 17 species
GCGAUGAGCUAAUUGAAUAAGCCGGCGGGCGCUCCUUUAUUGGAAAUGCACGAUGUGGCGUGCAGCCUGCCGCCUCAAUACGCAAGACCCUCUGUUUCAGGGGGUCUUU